rnacentral:rRNA from 1 species
UAGGGAAUCUUCGGCAAUGGGGGCAACCCUGACCGAGCAACGCCGCGUGAGUGAAGAAGGUUUUCGGAUCGUAAAGCUCUGUUGUAAGAGAAGAACGUGUGUGAGAGUGGAAAGUUCACACAGUGACGGUGACUUACCAGAAAGGGACGGCUAACUACGUGCCAGCUGCCGCGGUAAUACGUAGGUCCCGAGCGUUGUCCGGAUUUAUUGGGCGUAAAGCGAGCGCAGGCGGUUUAAUAAGUCUGAAGUUAAAGGCAGUGGCUUAACCAUUGUUCGCUUUGGAAACUGUUAAACUUGAGUGCAGAAGGGGAGAGUGGAAUUCCAUGUGUAGCGGUGAAAUGCGUAGAUAUAUGGAGGAACACCGGUGGCGAAAGCGGCUCUCUGGUCUGUAACUGACGCUGAGGCUCGAAAGCGUGGGGAGCAAACAGG